GAAUAACUAGCGCAGGGGUUAUCGCGUUCGCUUCGCAUCGACGCCUUUAUUUACGGUCUCAGGUCUGCGAAAGGUCUCCGGUUCGAAUCUGGAGUUGUCCA